rnacentral:rRNA from 1 species
ACGGGUGAGUAACACGUAGGUAACCUGCCCGUAAGACUGGGAUAACAUUCGGAAACGAAUGCUAAUACCGGAUACACAACUUGGUCGCAUGAUCAGAGUUGGGAAAGACGGAGCAAUCUGUCACUUACGGAUGGACCUGCGGCGCAUUAGCUAGUUGGUGAGGUAACGGCUCACCAAGGCGACGAUGCGUAGCCGACCUGAGAGGGUGAUCGGCCACACUGGGACUGAGACACGGCCCAGACUCCUACGGGAGGCAGCAGUAGGGAAUCUUCCGCAAUGGACGAAAGUCUGACGGAGCAACGCCGCGUGAGUGAUGAAGGUUUUCGGAUCGUAAAGCUCUGUUGCCAGGGAAGAACGCUAAGGAGAGUAACUGCUCUUUAGGUGACGGUACCUGAGAAGAAAGCCCCGGCUAACUACGUGCCAGCAGCCGCGGUAAUACGUAGGGGGCAAGCGUUGUCCGGAAUUAUUGGGCGUAAAGCGCGCGCAGGCGGCCUUGUAAGUCUGUUGUUUCAGGCACAAGCUCAACUUGUGUUCGCAAUGGAAACUGCAAAGCUUGAGUGCAGAAGAGGAAAGUGGAAUU